GGGCCCGUAGUCUAGUCUGGUUAGGACACAGAAGCCUAAAACCGCCCUCACACGGCGGAGGUCCGGGGUUCAAGUCCCCGCGGGCCCA
rnacentral:tRNA from 1 species